rnacentral:rRNA from 1 species
UACAGAGGUCUCAAGCGUUGUUCGGAUUCAUUGGGCGUAAAGGGUGCGUAGGUGGCGGGGUAAGUCAGGUGUGAAAUCUCGGGGCUCAACCCCGAAACUGCACUUGAUACUGCCUUGCUCGAGUACUGGAGAGGAGAUUGGAAUUUACGGUGUAGCAGUGAAAUGCGUAGAUAUCGUAAGGAAGACCAGUGGCGAAGGCGAAUCUCUGGACAGUUACUGACACUGAG